AUGAAGAAGAAGAUGAGUUCUCACGGGAAGCAUGGCGCGGGUUGUGGUGAGAUUUGACUCCCUUCGCUGCUGCUGGAUCCGGAGGUAACAGCGUAGAUUUCACGGAGCUCUCCCCGACGAACAGUGACAGAGUGACGGGUAGGAACAGAGUCGACGAUGGGCGACAGUCUGACCCGGAGGGCGGCAGCUCGUCCGAGGAGAGGUUCUGCUGCUGCUGCCGAACUGGGCGCUAACGUUAGCCCGCAAGAUGGCGAGGUAAUGGAGGUUUACCCAGCCCGAGAAACACAUCCAUGUCCGGACUCACUGAGUGCUGCUGGUGGGAGGAUGGAGAGGAGGUACUCGUCUCCGAUGCCUCCACAGAUCCACCAGAGACACAUGCCCAUAGACCCCUUAAAGUUCCACAUACCGAGGAAAACCAGGGAGAAGACAGCACUGUUUCAUCACGUCUCCAUCGAGUCCAGGGAGUAUGAGGACAUGAUGACCGUCCUGAACUCCAGUUACAUCGACACCACCUCUGCCAGCUGCUUCACCUACAGCAAACCCCGGCUGGUCCAGAGCGAGCUGGAGAAAGAGUUUGUGGAGAAGAGGAAGGAGAUGAAGGGAGACGGGAGAACGGAGAAGGAGCUGGAAGAGAGCUACUGCUUCCUGUUGGCUGAUGAUACGAAGACUCCAAUGCUCUGUGAGAAGGGACUGUUGGUGGGUCAGAGCCGGGUCACGGUUUUGGGAGACCCGACUAAAGGAGUGUACCUGUCCAAGUACUCAGACCUGCUCCAGAGUACCCCUUUCACUCCUGGAUUCACAGGGGAGAUCAUCAUCUUCAAAGUGAUGAAGGGUAAAGUUAAGAGCAUAUAUGAGAACAUGAAGAACCUGCUGGAUCCAACGCCUCGCUUCGACAGCCACAUCUCCAAGAACGUCAGCAAGGUCACCUCGGGCAACUCUUACCGCGCCUUCGAACUCACGCAGCAUUACUUCUACGAGUAUUCCUUUGACGAGCUGCGGCCGAGACCUCGUCAGGUUUGUCCGUACGCCGUCCUCUCUGUCCAGUUCAAAGGAAAGGAUUCUGCACUGCCCAGCAAACCUCUGGCCCCCCUCAGGUCCAACAGCCAAUCAGCAGAGGGGAGUAAAGAGCCCGCUCAAUUCACAGUGUGGAACGGAGAUUUAGUUAAAGGCUACCAGGUCCUGUACCAGAUCUCCCUGCGCUCCUUCUCUCCUCCCUUUCUUCCACACAAGUUACCCGAGAAGUUAGAAAUCGGCUGUUUGAUGAGUCUCGACAAAGUGACCAAGCUCCUCCCCUCGGACCUGUUCUCCUUCAACCUUUACAACAGCAGCCAAGAAGUUGUGAAGAGUGGUCACUGCUGCAGUCUUCUGGAGGUGACGGACAGAUUCCGGUCGACGACGAGCAUCACAAAGCUUCUGCACGAGCUGGAGAAAAACAGAGUGGUUCUGGUGACUCCACUAACAGAGAAAGGCUUCCUCUUCCUGAUAUCCAGUGUUCAGAUGGCCACGCCCCCUGAGAGAGAAGAGGGCUGGAAGAGAUGUCUGCAGGCCUUGUUUAUCUUUCCAGAGAGCAGAGAUGUCGCCAAAAGCACAGUAAGGCCUUUCUCCACUUCCCAUGAUGCCUCUGUACCGUCAAUGUCCGGCGUCCAGGUGAUGCCGAGGCUGAGCCAGUUCAUCCCAGCGAUGCACCACGCUCUGGUCAAGGCCCGCGCCAACCCGCCUCCAGAGCUGUCGGCUGGGGUGGAGCGCCAGGCGAGGGAAUACCUCACCGGGCUGAAGGACGGCAAGGUCCGACAGUACCCCAUGGGUGAGUACGAACUCGCACUGGAUGAACAAGAAACCCCCGCCCCCAAACACUACCGGGUGAACAUGGACGGCUACCUGCGCUCCUACCUGUACAGCCCCGCCCUCUACCUGCUGUCAGUGGCCCGGGUCAGGCAGAUGGUGGAGACGCUCUGCAGUCCCGAGGAUCCACGGGAGGCGAAGAUGAGGAGAGGCUCAGGAGGACAGCGGGAGGCGGCGGGGAAAGAUGCAACCAGCAACAGCGGAGGAGGAAAGAAGAACUCUGAAAAGAUGCAGCAGUUGAUCGACCUGGUGAUGACGUGUAAGAGGAACGCAGAGAACGAGGUGAAGAGGGAGGAAGCAGGGAGGGUGAGGGCACCGGGGAGGAAGAGGAGACUGGAGCAGGAGACGGCAGAGAGAGCACUUAAAUUCCUGAAGGCGUCGCAGGAGCCCGGACGACCCAGCAAGAUCCCAGUUGAGGAAAACCCUGUCUCCGCCCCCCCUGGCUCUCUUUUGUCCGUGAUUGGCUCUGUGGGUUUGAAGGCUGUUGAUCUGAGGGAAGAUGGAUCUGAACUGGCAGCACAGCUUCUCAACCUCCUGACGGGCCUCAACCAGGCCGCCAGAGGAACGGCCAAUCAGAGCGCUGGAGACAUGCAUGAAGAGGCACUUGGGGACUCUUAUCCCUUCGAUCGGUUGGCCACCAAGCUCGGCCUUCCCACCAACUGUGACAUCGACCUGAGGAGGCAGGAGGAGCUGGAGGAGCAGAUGGCCGGCAGCGUCAGCAGUUUGGAGGGAUUCAGUCCCGGCUCGCACAGCGGAGAGAUGAACCACAGAGGAGGAGGAGGAGGAGGAGGAGGAGGAGGAGGAGGAGCAAGAGAUCCGAGGAUCAGGGGAGGAUACGAAGAGGAGGUGGAAGAGUGGGAAAUCCCAUGGAUCCUCAUCCCCAUCACAGGUCUGAGCUCGGAGAGGUACACCCAGAGAGACCGGAACAUCCCCCAGGACCCUCGCUUCCAGCACCUCGCCCCACCAGCCAGCAUCACCAUGACAAACAAACCUCAACAGAAGAACACCACCCCAUCUCCCGAGUACAGCGCCCCUCCCUCCCCGUUCAAGUCCCCCUCCCCUGAGCCCAGCCCUCCUCCCUCGCCCUUACGGUGCCCCUCACCUGACCCGAGCCCUCCGACUUCCCCCUUCCACUGCCCGUCCCCCGAGCCCAGCCCUCCCCUCUCACCUUCUCAGUGCCCGUCCCCGGAGCCCAGUCCUCCCCCCUCUCCCUCACAAUGUCCCUCCCCACAACCCAGCUCUCCACCCUCCCCUUCUCAGUGCCCGUCCCCUCACCUUAGCCCUCCCCCCUCCCCCUCCAGGUGCAAGGCCCUGGGGUCCAAUGAGCUCAGCUCAUUUAAGACGCAGAAGAGUGGCACUAAUGAGGAGUGGUUAGCCUUCAAGGCCUCCAGGGAGUCUGCAGGAGUGUCCAUGGACCCAGACGAGAGACUUCAGGGGAAAGAGGAGAAGACUAAUGACCCGUCCAUUUCCUCAUCACUCCAUCCAUCUGCCUCUCCACCUCUGGAGAAGUGGAAAAGCCCAUCACCACAUCCUUCUGUUGUGGUGAAAGGAGAUGCAAACAUUUUAAAGGAAAAAGAAACUCUGAGAGGGGGAGCAGAAGGAAAGCAAAAUAAGGAGGAGGAGGAGGAGGAGGAGGAACAGAUGGAAGUAGGAGCUUUGGAUGAGGAGAAAAAGGGAGCAGUGCACGUCUCCUCACCUCCUUCGUGUCCUCUCAGAGGAAUCGAGACAAUCGUGGACAAACAUCUUGGCGCGUUCUCCUCCGAGAUGCAGCUCCUCCUGCAGGGGGAGAGCAUCCAUUACAGCCGCCAACAGUCCCCACACUCCACAUCAAACACAGAACCCACAGCACUCCCACACGCCUCCAUCUCUCAGUUCUCACAGUACGUGUCCUUCCACAACCCCUGCCCCCCCGUGGAGGGCUACGUCAGCUCCCUGCAAGACGGCAUGAACAGCAUUGUGACAGAGUUUGAAGACAGCUGGUCAAGCAACAAGCCCGCCAGCCGCCGGACUCGUGUUGAUGCCAGUUUGGCGAACACGGUUAGUGCUUUUGUGUCCAGCAUAAGAGCUAAUGUGAGGACAGACAGAGAUGACGAGGAGCUGCUUACAAACACCAAACACUUUUCUGAUGCAACAAACAGGAACUCUCCGACUUUCGACGUCACUUUAUCUGACUCUACCUCUGCGCAUGGUUCUGGCUUUAAGCCCUCCAGCACCACCGUCCUCCAGUCGCCUCCUCCACCUCAGCACACUCACACAUCAGAGAUUACUAGAACUGUCGCUAAUGACAUCAGGGAAACACAGGUCAGCAGCGUCAGGUCUGUGCACCGGAGCUCAAACUACGAAGUGACUCUGCCGGGAUUCAGUGGCAGUGUCACAGAGUCUUCACAACCCUCUGAGCCGGUCUCCGGCGCAGCCUCAGAGUCCAGCCCCGGCUCGGGUCCGGCUCCCCCUGCCACGGCCCUGAGCUCCCUGAUCAGCCAGCUGCAGCCAGAGGUGUUCAACAGCCUGGUGGAGAUCAUCAAGGACGUCAAGAGGAACUCCCUGCAGUUCUACCUCCACAGCAGUGAGCCAGGGGACCCGUUAUAUGACGGCAUCAAGGGCCAGCUGUUGAAGCAGGGUAAUGUGCAGCAGCAGAAUCCUGUGACCUUUCUCAACCAAGGGAACCCUGAGAACAGACUGCUGGUCAUCAUCAAGAACAAAGACAUAUCUAAACAUGUGCAUGAGAUCCCCGCUCUGGUGUCUCUGAAGCGUCAUCCCUCUGUGGUGUUCAUGGGCAUCGAUACGCCGGAGGAUGUCAUGAACAACAGCUUCAACGAGCUCUUUGUCUGUGGAGGCUGCGUCGUGUCUGAUGAGUUACUCCUUAAUCCAGACUUCAUCACUCAUGAGCGUGUUGCGGCUCUGCUGUUGUUCCUGGAGCAGCACAGUUAUCCAGAGAGUGUGUGGAGGUGGAAGAUUCACUGCAAAACCCACAAGAAACUCAGAGAGCAAGCAAGGUUCAGGAGAGACGCAGCCAACCUGCUGGACGUGCUGUUGGCCUAUCAGAAGCGGCAGAUCGUGGAGUUCCUCCCGUAUCAUCAGUGCGACAUGAUGAACCAGCAGUCCCCCGACAUGCAGUGUCUCCUGGAGCUGCAGGCCCGGUACACACAGUACCGACACACCGUCUUCCUCACCGAGCGUCAUGCUGAGAAGCUCUCUGACUACUCCAGAGUCGGCAUCGUCGUGGCCAGCAUUGACGAGGUUCUGAAGGACUUCUCCAGACUGGUCGGGGAUCAGGACAGCAGGGAGCCAUCGGGGGGCGAGACUCCAAAAGCGUUCAGAGCACGUCAACAGAGAUACUCGAGCAAAGAGGAAAAGUUCAUCCACAUGUUAGAGCGAAGCGGGCUGGACAGACUACGUGAGAUGAACGGUUCGCCCUCUCUCCCUCAGUGAAGAGAUCAAGCUUCCUGUGCCAACUUCACUACACACCUUAGAACUCCCCGACUAUGAACUGGAAACCAGUAGCGGUUUUGUGUUUGCGUUGAAAGAGAUGUGAAGCUGGCAUCAGAUCUCAGCAGGGCUACAGAGAGACCGGUGCCUCUUAGAGCCCACAGAGAGGAGGCUUCAGUCCCAACAGCCUCGGCUCCUGCGCCAGGGAACCUAUCUUGCGAGGGCGACCGCCAAUAACCCCCCUUUGGGUAAAUCUGACUUUAAAGAAGCGGGUCUGAGAGGACCGUAAAGACUGAAGAGGGUUAAACAGACUGAGACUGGACUUGAUCUCAGAUUUAUGUGAGUCUACUCUUUUUGUAUGACCUCAUUAGAGCAGCUCUGUGUGUUUUCCAUUAACGUCUGCUCGCCGUGCAUCGUGCAGUGAGUUACAAACCAAGUGAGAGGAUAUCCUCGUGUAUCGGUGUGAUGUCAAUGAUGGGGUGACUGCCGUGCUCUCUCGUCCGGUUGCGUUUUCGGAAUCAGCACGGAGCAGGACCUCCGGACAUCUGGAGUCAUGUGAGCGAGGUUUUCCCACGGUAAUGACUGAAUCAAGGAUUCUUCUCCUCAACUCCUCAUCCAUGUUGUCUUUCUGGUCCUCUGAAAAUCUCUGACCUGUUGACUCCAGGCCUGGCUCCGCUCAUCAUGACGGUUUGUUGUUGUAGUUAAGUGAAAUACACAGAGUGUCUGUCAAAAAUAGAAGUCUUGUGUAUCUGAUCCGUAGCGAUACCUGCCACAUCAGAUCCAGUGGACAUUAACACAUUGACUGGAAUAGAAACCUAUCAGAUCUGAUGCCGUGCCAGAUCGGAGACGGACCGGACACGGAUCUGGUGGAAUUUGGCCGUUAGUCAGGCACUAAAAACAGAACAGGCUGCUUCACUCUUCCCGGAAUAACCUUCAUAAAACACGACCAAUGGAUCCUUGAUGGAGAUGUUUACAAUGGGGGAACCACUUACAGAAUUGUUGUAGUGACUGUUUUUUUUUAAUGCCUUGAAAAAACCUGUAAAUCAGAGUCCAGAUCCUUUGACUUUCUCGAGGCUCUCCUGGAUCAGACGAGGGGUUGAGUGUUCAGGUUGUGGCAGCUCCCUCCUCCGAUCAAACUCCACGCUCUGAAAUAGAGAAGAAGAGUAUGCAGAGAGAAGCCUGUCCGCUGCUCCUUUGCUUUGAAGAAGGACAAGAGGAGAGUUUGUUUUGACCUCCAGCUGACAUUUGUCCUUCUCAUCCCACUCCACUAACUUGUCUUCAUCGCUUCGUCUGACAUCUCCUUCACCGCUUCACCGCUUCACACAGCUCUGUCAUGAGACCGUUCACCCUGCUUCUUCUUCUUCUGGACAAACUCUUUCCAUCCUCGCUGCUGCCAGCUCUGCACAGCUAUGCUUUCUUCCAUUCCUUCAUACAUGCAGCCUCCACUGAGUCCCUGCAGGGAGCCGUCCGUUCAAUCAAAUACACUUUCAGCUGACUGGUGGACCACAGCGAGGGGGGGAAAUCGUGGUCAAAGAGGCACUUCUUUUCUAACGCACCGAGGAGAGGAGGAGCUGGGUCGCCUGGACCGUCUGAAUGCGUGAACUCCUCCACCCCGUCUCCUCCAGCGACCAGCCCCAUCCCCUCCUUCCUCAGUCCAGCUCCAGCCUCCCUCCUCUCUCCCACCACCUCUCAGACCAGCUGGUCCCUGACACCUCCUGUAAGGACGGCGUGCUGCUGCAGUCAGCCCCGGAUUUCGAGAUCCUACGUCAGGCCAUUUCUCAGUUGCGGGCGGAGCGGCAGGCGCAGCUGCAGGAACUGCAUGAGCUGGAGUGGAUGCAGCAGCGGCGGCGUCUAGACUCCAAGGUGCUCCACAAAGUUGAUCCAGACCCCGCUCACUCCGAUAUCGAUGCUCCCUCAGGUCCAACCAAGCCUGUCCAGAUCACUCCAGGAACGAACGCCGUGGCUGCCACACUGGACUUGAUUCACUCGGGUCUGCAGACGGAGGAAGAGGAGGAGGAGAGGAGGGAGGGACAGAGGAAAGAGGCUGGAGUGAGAGUGGUGGGAUCUCUGAACACUAAAGCUCCAACGCUCUCGUCCAAUCAAAACAUAGCUGCAGCACUGAGUCAUCGGACAGCCUCGACCAAUGAGAGGAGAGAGGCAGCAGAUCAGCAAGGAGAAUGUGAAGGUGCGGUCUCCUCCAGGACUGCAGACUGUCCUGCAGGGGGCGUCAGGUCCAG